ensembl:rRNA 5S_rRNA 5S ribosomal RNA
GCCUACGACCAUGCCACCCUGAUUCCGGAAGCAUAGCAGGGUUGUGCCUGGCCAGUAUGUGGAUGGGAGACAGCCUGGGAACAUGGGAUGUUUUUGGCU